rnacentral:lncRNA from 1 species
AUAGAGAUCUGUGAAGGAGUUAUCGGCCACACGUUCAACCACUAACGCCUGAAUCUCUUCAGGCAAUUCAAGUAUCGAGAAAUAAUCCAUUAAUGUAACGUUCAUAUAACUAAGCAAUGAUAUUUGACAUAACUCAGCCAUGUUGGUUAAUAUAACAUCGACGCCUUCGUAGAGAUCGAGACGGUAAUACUUUAUUAUU